AUAGCUGAGCUUCAAAUACUCCCUACUUCUUUGCCGGUAGUGAUAUCCUUCUUAUCUCCUGCCCAGGUAGAGAGAGGUGGGUGAAAGGAAUGAUGGUUUACAUGGCUUGGUUGAUUUGGAGUGCUGAGAAUUGCAGAAGAUCUUGGAUUACUGAUCUGUCUUCUUGCAGGGUGGCUCAACUCCCUUUGUUUAAAGAAUAUCUUGGCUUGGAAACAGUUGUUCCCAACAUGACGUGGUUUCCCAAGUGUUUCGUGAAGAAAAUAGGGCUGCCGAUGGCUAUCCAAGAUGGCACUCCAGGUGGAUGGUUUAUUCCGUCAUGGUGGUCUUCUUCCUUCAGAGUUUGCCCAUAUUUU
rnacentral:lncRNA from 1 species